rnacentral:rRNA from 1 species
GACAGAGGUGCCGAGCGUUAGGCGGAAUCACUGGGCUUAAAGCGUGUGUAGGCGGGUCCGUAAGCACCUUGUGAAAUCCCACGGCUCAACCGUGGAACUGCUUGGUAUACUGCGGGUCUUGAGCCACUUAGGGGCAAGCGGAACAAACGGUGGAGCGGUGAAAUGCGUAGAUAUCGUUUGGAACGCCAAUGGUGAAAACAGCUUGCUGGGAGUGUGCCGACGCUGAGACACGAAAGCCAGGGGAGCGAACGGG